CGUAGGGGCAAGCGUUGUCCGGAAUCAUUGGGCGUAAAGCGCGCGUAGGCGGCCCGGUAAGUCCGCUGUGAAAGUCAAGGGCUCAACCCUUGAAAGCCGGUGGAUACUGCCGGGCUAGAGUCCGGAAGAGGCGAGUGGAAUUCCUGGUGUAGCGGUGGAAUGCGCAGAUAUCAGGAGGAACACCUAUAGCGAAGGCAGCUCGCUGGGACGGUACUGACGCUAAGGCGCGAAAGCGUGGGGAGCGAACAGGAUU
rnacentral:rRNA from 1 species